AUGAUAGAACGGGCAUUUCCUUUCAAAGUAUCGUGUCUGGUUACUGAUAGAGGGGGUGAAUUUUGUGGAAAUAACUUCCAACACUGGCUUAGAGAAAUGGGCAUACAACAUAAGACCACCAAUCCCUACACACCAGCUGAAAAUGGGCUUGCAGAAAGAAGAAUAGGGGUACUCCAAGUUAUGAAAGAUUGCAUGUUAAGAGAUUCUGAAGCACCUAAUAGCCUCUGGGGAGAGGCUUUUCUAACAGCGAAUCAUGUUCUCAAUAGGGUGUGGUGCUCAGCCAUUAAACAGACCCCAUUUUUUGCAUUGUAUGGAAGAUCUCCAAAUUUAAAACACCUACGAAUUUUUGGCCAAUUCGCCCAGGUAUUAGUUCCAGCCCAACAGAGACGAAAAGGUCAGCCCAAAUGGAGAAGGCUGAGAUUUGUGGGAUAUAUGGGCAACAAGUACAGAUUUUAUGGUGGGGGUGGAAAUGUGGUACUCUCCAGAAGUGCUAAUUUUGAGACCCAUAGUGGAUGGGAGAAAAUACAUUGUAACAAGGAAGUAUUCAUACAAACUAGUCAUGAAGACAUUGAAAAUGAAGGGGAGGACACAGAUAGUGGUUCAGAGAGAGAAGAAGAAUCACUCUCAGACAGUGAAAGUGUUCAAGAUGUUCCCUCGCCCCACACAAGACUAAAAGAGAGAAAGAGAUAUAGAAAAGCAAGGCCUCAAUCCAGUGAUGAGGAAUUUAGUGGAUCAGACAAUAUUGUUUUAAGGAGAAGCAAAAGAGUUCGAAAGCCACCUGAUAGAUAUGGUGGUCCCAAAAUGUUUCAAGUAGAAAUGAAUACACAGCAUGAUGAUGAACCAGAGAGUUUUAGCCAGGCCAUGGACAGUCUCAAUGCAGAAGACUGGAGAGAGGCAAUGAAUAACGAGUUCAAUUCCUUGAAACAUCAAAAGGUUUUUGAAGUUGUAGAUAGGCCCAGAAAUCAAAAGGUUGUAGGAUGCAAAUGGGUUUAUAAGAAAAAGAUUCUUCCAGAUGGAGAGAUUAAGUACAAAGCAAGGCUAGUGGCCAAAGGGUUUACUCAAUCCAGGUUUGAGAAUUAUGAUGAAACAUUUGCUCCUACUGCCAAGCCAGAAAGUUUAAGACUGAUGCUAACGCUAGCAGCCAAGAAGCAAAUGCAAGUACAGCAUUUUGAUUUUGAGACAGCUUACCUUAAUGCUCCUUUGCAGGAACAAAUAUAUAUGGAACAAGCGCCAGGUUUUUGUGUUAAAGGUAACAAAGUUUGCCUUCUUAGAAAAGCGAUAUAUGGGCUUAAGCAAUCAGCGAGACUUUGGAAUAUGUGUGUACAUGAUGAAUUGUGUAAACUUGGGUUUAAUAGGAGCAUUGCAGAUGCAUGUGUUUACACUAGAGGUACCAAAGAUGAAUGGGUAGGCCUUCUUCUUUAUGUGGAUGACCUAUGUGUUAUAGCUCAAAAACCAGACACAAUUAAAAAAGUUGAGAGGGAACUUGGAAAUAGGUUCAGAAUGAAAAAUUUAGGUCACCUGAAGAACUACGUAGGUCUAGAGGUCAGUAGAUCUGCAGAAGGUACAAUAAUCUUGAGUCAGAAAAAGAAAAUUGAGCAAGUGAUUGAAAAAUGUAAUUUAAUCAAUGCAAAAACUGUUUCCACUCCAAUGACAACUGAUUUCGUUAGUCUAGAGUCAGAUAAAUUGUUUGAGAAACCAGAGGUAUAUCAUUCUGUCAUUGGGAGCUUAAUGUACAUUGCAAAUCAUACAAGGCCAGAUAUUAGUUUCGCAGUGAAUUUUCUUAGUCGGAGAGUUUCCAAACCUAGGAUGAUCGAUUGGAUUGCACUAAAGAGUUAUUAG
ensembl:lncRNA